CAACCUGAGAGUUUGAUUCUGGCUCAGAACGAACGCUGGCGGCAGGCUUAACACAUGCAAGUCGAACGCACCUUCGGGUGAGUGGCAGACGGGUGAGUAACGCGUGGGAACAUGCCCAUCAGUACGGAAUAGCUCCGGGAAACUGGAAUUAAUACCGUAUACGUCCUUCGGGAGAAAGAUUUAUCGCUGAUGGAUUGGCCCGCGUUAGAUUAGCUAGUUGGUAGGGUAAAAGCCUACCAAGGCUACGAUCUAUAGCUGGUCUGAGAGGAUGAUCAGCCACACUGGGACUGAGACACGGCCCAGACUCCUACGGGAGGCAGCAGUGGGGAAUCUUGGACAAUGGGGGAAACCCUGAUCCAGCCAUGCCGCGUGAAUGAUGAAGGCCUUAGGGUUGUAAAAUUCUUUCAGCGGGGAAGAUAAUGACGGUACCCGCAGAAGAAGCCCCGGCUAACUCCGUGCCAGCAGCCGCGGUAAUACGGAGGGGGCUAGCGUUGUUCGGAAUUACUGGGCGUAAAGCGCACGUAGGCGGAU
rnacentral:rRNA from 1 species